rnacentral:rRNA from 1 species
UACGUAGGUGGCAAGCGUUAUCCGGAUUUACUGGGUGUAAAGGGCGCGUAGACGGCCAUGCAAGCCUGGAGUGAAAGCCCGGGGCCCAACCCCGGGACUGCUCUGGGAACUGUGCGGCUGGAGUGCGGGAGGGGCAGGCGGAAUUCCUGGUGUAGCGGUGAAAUGCGUAGAUAUCAGGAGGAACACCGGCGGCGAAGGCGGCCUGCUGGACCGCGACUGACGUUGAGGCUCGAAAGCGUGGGGAGCAAACAGG